rnacentral:rRNA from 1 species
UACGAAGGGGGCUAGCGUUGCUCGGAAUCACUGGGCGUAAAGCGCACGUAGGCGGACUCUUAAGUCGGUGGUGAAAUCCUGGAGCUCAACUCCAGAACUGCCUCCGAUACUGGGAGCCUUCGAGUCCGGGAGAGGUGAGUGGAACUGCGAGUGUAGAGGUGAAAUUCGUAGAUAUCGGGAGGAACACCAGUGGCGAAGGCGGCAUCCUGGACCAUUACUGACACUGAUCCGCGAAAGCUAGGGGAGCAAACGGG